rnacentral:rRNA from 1 species
CCUACGGGAGGCAGCAGUGAGGAAUAGUGGUCAAUGGGCGCGAGCCUGAACCAGCCAAGUAGCGUGAAGGAUGACUGCCCUACGGGUUGUAAACUUCUUUUAUAAAGGAAUAAAGUGAGGCACGUGUGCCUUUUUGUAUGUACUUUAUGAAUAAGGAUCGGCGAACGCCGUGCCAGCAGCCGCGGUAAUACGGAGGAGCCGAGCGUUAUCCGGAUUUACUGGGUGUAAAGGGCGUGUAGCCGGGCUGACAAGUCAGAUGUGAAAUCCGGGGGCUCAACCCCCGAACUGCCUUUGCAACUGUUGGUCUUGAGUAUCGGAGAGGCAGGCGGACUUCCUAGUGUCGCGGUGACAUGCGUAGAUAUUAGGAG